rnacentral:rRNA from 1 species
GACGAACGCUGGCGGCGUGCCUGACACAUGCAAGUCGGACGGUUCUUGCGCCUUCAAGCUUGCUUGUUGGUUCGAGGAUAGUGGCGGACGGGUGAGUAACGCGUGAACACCUACCCAUUGGAGGGGUACAACCCGUCGAAAGGCGGGCUAAUACCGCGUAAGCCGUGAGGUGAAAGGCUGCCUUUUGGUGGCUGCCGAUGGAUGGGUUCGCGUCCUAUCAGCUUGUUGGUGGGGUAAGGGCCUACCAAGGCUAAGACGGGUAGCCGGUCUGAGAGGAUGGCCGGCCACACUGGAACUGAGACACGGUCCAGACUCCUACGGGAGGCAGCAGUGGGGAAUAUUGGGCAAUGGGGGGAACCCUGACCCAGCGACGCCGCGUGAGGGACGAAGGUUUUCGGAUCGUAAACCUCUGUUGUACGGGAAGAAGGAUGUGACGGUACCGUACGAGUAAGCCCCGGCAAACUACGUGCCAGCAACCGCGGUAAACACGAGAAUA